UACGUAGGGUGCGAGCGUUGUCCGGAAUUACUGGGCGUAAAGAGCUCGUAGGUGGUUUGUCGCGUUGUUCGUGAAAACUCACAGCUCAACUGUGGGCGUGCGGGCGAUACGGGCAGACUGGAGUACUGCAGGGGAGACUGGAAUUCCUGGUGUAGCGGUGGAAUGCGCAGAUAUCAGGAGGAACACCGGUGGCGAAGGCGGUUCUCUGGGCAUACCUGACGCUGAGGAGCGAAAGUGUCGGGAGGCGAACAGG
rnacentral:rRNA from 1 species